UACGAAGGGGGGCUAGCGUUGCUCGGAAUCACUGGGCGUAAAGGGUGCGUAGGCGGGUCUUUAAGUCAGGGGGUGAAAUCCUGGAGCUCAACUCCCAGAACUGCCUUUGAUACUGGCGACCUUGAGUCCCGGGGAGAGUGAGUGGAACUGCGAGUGUAGAGGUGAAAUUCGUAGAUAUUCGCAAGAACACCAGUGGCGAAGGCGGCUCACUGGCCCCGGUACUGACGCUGAGGUGCGAAAGCGUGGGGAGCAAACAGG
rnacentral:rRNA from 1 species